UAAUUCAUUAAUCAUAGACUCACUGAUGAGAGUAAAACAAAUGCAUCACCAAUAUACACAGAACGUCAUAACAAAACGUAAGAGAUUAAAAAGAAGAAGAAGGCAAGUUUUGGCAAUCUAUACGAUCAACUACUAUAGUCACAGAACAUAACUAAUCAAUCAAAAACAUCAUACCUUGAGAGAGUGAGCUUGAGAGGGUCUCGAGAGAGUGACUUGAG
rnacentral:lncRNA from 1 species